rnacentral:tRNA from 3 species
GGAGAGAUGGCUGAGUGGUUGAUAGCUCCGGUCUUGAAAACCGGUAUAGUUCGUAGAACUAUCGAGGGUUCGAAUCCCUCUCUCUCCU